UGGGGAAUUUUGGACAAUGGGCGAAAGCCUGAUCCAGCAAUGCCGCGUGCAGGAUGAAGGCCUUCGGGUUGUAAACUGCUUUUGUACGGAACGAAAAAGCUUCUCCUAAUACGAGAGGCCCAUGACGGUACCGUAAGAAUAAGCACCGGCUAACUACGUGCCAGCAGCCGCGGUAAUACGUAGGGUGCGAGCGUUAAUCGGAAUUACUGGGCGUAAAGCGUGCGCAGGCGGUUAUGUAAGACAGAUGUGAAAUCCCCGGGCUCAACCUGGGAACUGCAUUUGUGACUGCAUGGCUAGAGUACGGUAGAGGGGGAUGGAAUUCCGCGUGUAGCAGUGAAAUGCGUAGAUAUGCGGAGGAACACCGAUGGCGAAGACAAUCCCCUGGACCUGUACUGACGCUCAUGCACGAAAGCGUGGGGAGCAAACAGGAUUAGAUACCCUGGUAAUCCACGCCCUAAACGAUGUCAACUGGUUGUUGGGAAUUAGUUUUCUCAGUAACGAAGCUAACGCGUGAAGUUGACCGCCUGGGGAGUACGGCCGCAAGGUUG
rnacentral:rRNA from 1 species